rnacentral:rRNA from 1 species
UCCUACGGGAGGCAGCAGUGGGGAAUAUUGCACAAUGGGCGAAAGCCUGAUGCAGCGACGCCGCGUGAGGGAUGACGGCCUUCGGGUUGUAAACCUCUUUCAGCAGGGAAGAAGCGAAAGUGACGGUACCUGCAGAAGAAGCGCCGGCUAACUACGUGCCAGCAGCCGCGGUAAUACGUAGGGCGCAAGCGUUGUCCGGAAUUAUUGGGCGUAAAGAGCUCGUAGGCGGCUUGUCACGUCGGAUGUGAAAGCCCGGGGCUUAACCCCGGGUCUGCAUUCGAUACGGGCUAGCUAGAGUGUGGUAGGGGAGAUCGGAAUUCCUGGUGUAGCGGUGAAAUGCGCAGAUAUCAGGAGGAACACCGGUGGCGAAGGCGGAUCUCUGGGCCAUUACUGACGCUGAGGAGCGAAAGCGUGGGGAGCGAACAGGAUUAGAUACCCUGGUAGUCCACGCCGUAACGUUGGGAACUAGGUGUUGGCGACAUUCCACGUCGUCGGUGCCGCAGCUAACGCAUUAAGUUCCCCGCCUGGGGAGUACGGCCGCAAGGCUAAAACUCAAAGGAAUUGACGG